AACGCACAUUGCGCUCUCUGGUAUUCCGGAGAGCAUGCUUGUUUGAGUAUCAGUAAACACCUCAAUUUCAUGAUUUUAUAUUUUGAAAUUGGACUUGAGCAUAUCCCAACGUGUAUUUAUUUAUAUGGAGGGUUGCUUCAAAUGCAGGUGCAGCCGAUCAUUCUUCUGGGCUAAAAGCAUUAUCUAGUUAGUCCCGUAAAACGGAUUAUUCAUUUUAUUGCUGCAGCUUACCUUAAAGGAAGACAUGGCCAUUGUGCUGACUGAUGCAGGAUUUCUCAGAGGGUCUGCAAAGACUUUUUGAAAACUCGAUCUCAAAUCAAGUAAGACUACCCGCUGAACUUAA
rnacentral:misc_RNA from 1 species